rnacentral:rRNA from 1 species
GACGAACGCUGGCGGCGUGCCUAAUACAUGCAAGUCGAACGCAGUGGGGACGGGUGAGUAACACGUGGGUAACCUCACAACAGAGGGGAGAACACUUGGAAACAGGUGCUAAACCGAUACUGAUGGAUGGACCCGCGGUGCAUUAGCUAGUUGGUGAGGUAGCGGCUCACCAAGGCCACGAUGCAUAGCCGACCUGGGAGGGUGCUCGGCCACACUGGGACUUACACCCGGCCCAUACCUCUACGGUAGGCCGCAGUAGGGAAUCUUCGGCAAUGGACGAAAGUCUGACCGAGCAACGCCGCUUGAGUGAAGAAGGUUUUCGGAUCGUAAAACUCUGUUGUUAGAGAAGCGGUAUCUAACCAGAAAGCCACGGCUAACUACGUGCCAGCAGCCGCGGUAAUAC